AGGACGAACGCUGGCGGCGUGCUUAACACAUGCAAGUCGAGCGGAAAGGCCCUUCGGGGUACUCGAGCGGCGAACGGGUGAGUAACACGUGAGUAAUCUGCCCCUAGCUCUGGGAUAGCUCCGGGAAACCGGGAUUAAUACCAGAUACGACCACUUUAGACAUCUGUUGUGGUGGAAAGAAUUUCGGCUAGGGAUGAGCUCGCGGCCUAUCAGCUUGUUGGUGAGGUAACGGCUCACCAAGGCGACGACGGGUAGCCGGCCUGAGAGGGCGACCGGCCACACUGGGACUGAGACACGGCCCAGACUCCUACGGGAGGCAGCAGUGGGGAAUAUUGCGCAAUGGGCGAAAGCCUGACGCAGCGACGCCGCGUGGGGGAUGAAGGCCUUCGGGUUGUAAACCCCGUUUCAGCAGGGACGAAGCGAAAGUGACGGUACCUGCAGAAGAAGCGCCGGCUAACUACGUGCCAGCAGCCGC
rnacentral:rRNA from 1 species